CUAACCAUAUAUAAAAAUGGUCUUUAUAUUUAUAGUGUCUUGGCCAAAACUUGUGCCAGCAGUCGCGGUAAUACAAGAAAGACUAGCGUUUCUCAUCUUGACUAGGUUUAAAGGGUACCUAGACGGUUUAUUUAGUCUAGAAUAAGAUACAGAUAAACUARAGUUAUAUAAAGGAGGCUAUUUAGUAUUGAAAGAGUAGAGAUGAAAUUCUUUAAUACUUUCAAGACUGGUAAUGGUGAAAACAAACCUCUGUAUAUAAACUGACGUUGAGGGACGAAGGCAUGGGUCUCGAAUAGGAUUAGAUACCCUAAUAGUCCAUGCAGAAAACGAUGAAUGUCAUAAAUAAGUUAAAAUAAUUCUUAUUUAUAAACGAAAGUGUAAGCAUUCCACCUCAAGAGUACUACGGCAACGUAUAAACUGAAAUCAUUAGACCGUUUCUGAAACCAGUAGUGAAGUAUGUUAUUUAAUUCGAUAAUCCUCGAAAAACCUUACCUCAAUUUGAAUAUAUAAUAUAUAUAUUAUAUACAAGCGUUGCACGGCUGUCUUCAGUUAAUGUCGUGAGAUCUGGUUAAUUCCUCCAAUUAACGUAACCC
rnacentral:rRNA from 1 species